CAAUAUCGUCCAGACAUUCGAAUUCACAGCAUCGUUCGCCGACCCGAAACUUCUUGCAUCUCUGUGGCAAAAGAUCGAUCGAUCGCAUUAGUCAAUCGUCAUUCAACGAUUUGAGAAUCCAGGCCAUAAAUGGAAAUGAACUAAAGUGCAUGUGAAUGAAUUGCUUCUGAGAGGUUAGGAGGGAAAAUUGACGAGUUUACAAUAGAUUAAAAGAAUAUUUUGGGUAAGUAAAUUAUAAAUUGAUUAUGAUAAUAUAUAUUAUUGAUCGUGGAUUUAAAUAUAUUUUAUAAUUAUAAAAGCGUAUUCUAAUGGUCGUAAAUAAAUAAAAAUUAUACAUAUAGUAAAAUAAUUAAAAAAUUGAGGAAAUAAAUUAUAAUUGAAUAAACUUCAGUAAACUAAUUUUGAAAUUUCAAUUUGUAAAUUUAAAACAAGAUUUUAAAUUUUAAUACAUUCAAUAAUUAAGAAUCAAUAUCGUUGAAUUUUAUUACAUGUAAUAAAAUUUAUAUAUAUAUGUAUAAUUAGUAAAACUAAAUUUUUGCAAUAAAAUUUUGAAAUGAUGUUUAAUUCGCAUUACAAUUUUUAAAUUUUGUUGCAUCUCAGUUCAAGUAAUUUUUAGUAUAUUUAAUAAUUUAUCUAAAUUUUUUUUUCACUUUUUUUUUAUUCCAAUUGCAAAACAAAUAAUUAUUACAUUAUAAAAAUAAUUACUAUAUUUAGACAAAAUAAUUUUUUGAUUUCAAUAUCGAUUCAUCGCUUUACUAAUUUCAAAUUUUGUUCAUUUGUUCAUUAUAUUCCAUUUAUUAGUUUCACGUUAUCUACCAAUAUGCUUUUAAUAUAUUAUCUCCCGAAUAAAAUAUCGAGUUAAAAUCGCGUCAAAUGGCAUAAUCUUUUCAGUUUCUCACUCUUUCAAAACAGGCCUGCUGUUUAUCCAUCAUAUACUAUGCAUAUAUACUUCCAAGAUCAAAAAUUCAAAAAAUCAUCAAAUGAAACACCAUGUUCUAUUUUUGUCACAAAAAUAGUACAAGCAAAGUAUAAGAACAACUCAACAAAAUUGGUUAAAGUUUGAUUAUUAAUACGACAAGUAUUAAUUUGUUUCGGAAAACACGCAAUUCGCAGUCUCGUCGUUUCUAGUAAACGAAAGAUAUAGUCGGACGAGAUUAGCAUAAAACUUGUCGCAUGCGAUCAGGUGGCCUGAAUGUCGAGUAAAAGGAGGUAAAGUUACGUGAUUCGAGGCGUUUAACUGAAAAGUAACGAUUGUGAUCAAAGACGAGAUAUGUGGCAAUAUUAUAUUUCACAACAAAUAACAAUAUAUACAAGAUGAAAAAAAAAUCGAGAUAUAAUAAGGAACAAUGAUAUUUAUAUAAAAUUUUUUCAAAAAUUUUUAAAUAGAUUUCUUUUCUCUUUUUACUCGAUAAUUAUUUUCUUAUUUUAAUUAUUUUCUUCUUUUAUAUUAGAUAUUUAUAAAAAAAAAACUUAUCACUAUCAUUUUCAAAUAAUAUAAAUAAAAAGUGAAACUGGCGUCAAUUUUAACAGAUUUUUUUUUAUCUCUUAUCCAUUUCUCACUUUUUGCAUAGAAUAAAUAUUUAUAAAAGAAAAAUUUAUUAUUAAAAAAGCACGUUGAUUGAAAGUAAGAUUAUUCAAACUUUCUCUAAAUAUAUCCACGAUAAUUAUUUAUGAUAAUUAUAAUUAUAUUGAUUAAAUAACAUGAACAUUUUUGCAACAUAAAGCGAAGAAAUAGGUAAUAUGUUUGAAACAUGUUAAUGAAAAGAAAACGUUGUAUGUGAUAUUGAUUUUAUGCUUUUGCCACGCAACGCGGAAAUUGCGGAAUUAAAAUUGAAUUUGCAUCGCAACGUUGACAUUACGACAGCAAUUAUAUUAUAUAUGUGCGUAUGUAUUUAAAAAGUUAAGCAUCAAACAUCGCACGGAUUAUACAAGAAGUGAACCGGUAAUCCUUCUAUUGAAAAUAGGAUUUCCUUGAUUCAAGCUUAAAUAAGAGGAAACCUGUGAGAAUUUUCUUCGAUAUUCUUCACUUACGAAUUACAUGGUAUAUAAUCUCUCCAGAAGAAUACACGUUGUGACAAGAUGCAAUUACUGUUAAUAGGAUUUUCAAAGUAGAAAUAUGUAGAUUGAAAAUAUAAAGUUUGAAAAUGAAAUCUUUAUUAGAAGACUUUUUACUAAAAAUAAAUAUUUUUACGCGAAUAAUUUUAAUAUUAUCUAUUUCAUUUUUUAAAGAAAUUAUUACUCGUAUUAAAUAAGCACACAUAUACUUCAAAAAUUGAUACUUCGAAAUCAUUAUUCCUCCAAUAUAAUCAUUAUCCAAUUUAUUUUCACAUCGUACGCUCGAUCCAUUCACCGCAUUAUCAUAAUCUAUAUUCAUCUAAAUUCUUCAUUUUGAUUGAAAAAUCACGUAUUUCCAUGAAUGUAUUAUAUUUCCCAAUCGAAAUGUAGCAUUUAAUUGUGAAUUUCAAUUUUUCUAAAGAUGAAAAAACAAUUAUUCCGUUUUGAUUGAAAUAUUUCCUCUUAUUAAAAAUCGAUUGGAUAUUUUAGUAAUAAAUAAUCUGUUUUAUUCAAUUGAAGGAAACCGAGAAAAAAAUACGGCAGUCAUAGAAGCACGAUUUUACAACAAGAAUCUCAUUAGAAGUUUGAAGAUGUCACAUUGAAUGAAAAUUCAAUAAAGUGAAUAUUAACUGUAUUACCGAUAACAAUCGUGUUAAGAUAAUUCUUAAAUAAAUUAGUCUUCUGUUUACGGAAACUUAACCAAUGUCGUCAUCAACAUCUUCUAUUGAUUUCUAAGAAUGUUUUUCAUGUUAUUAAGAAACAGGUGAGAAUAAUCUGGUAACGUAAUUCGAUGAGAUUCCGGGGAAUAUAAUACAAUUUCCUGCGAACCAUAAUUUCUCGAACGAACGAACUUUGCUUUCCUGUGAUUAAUAAAAAAAAAGAAUGAAAAAAAGGAAGAGGAAGAAAACUAGAUGGCCUAGAUCGAAAGCAAUGGUUGCAUCCGUAAUAUUUAUUAUUCGUUUGUCCAUGUCGCGCAAGAAAAGUCGAGAUAACUGGUGAAGCGAGUGAAUAAAUCUGCCAUCUCCCAAUGGAAAAAUAUUCAUUAGCCCGAGAUCACACAUCGCUAAUUUCUACUUUUUUAAACGUCCUAUCUAUUCAGAGAAGAAAUUGAAAAAGAAAAAAAAUGGAGGCGAAAGAAAGUUAAAGAGAGUUGCCGAUACAUUGUUCGUUUUUGUUGGGAUCAACUGGUAAUAUUUUUUGUACAAAGAUGAAAACGAUUAUAAAAAUAUAUGUAUAUAAAAAUCUUACAUCGUAAAAUAAAAAUGGCAAAAAUCCAAUUUAAAUGAUAAUUUUGACAACAAAGUUUCGCAGGUCUCUCAUCUGCUUCAUCGACUACAAAUGGUUUCUGUGUAAGAAAAGCUUGGUUGAUUAAAAAUUUCAAAAGAAGUUUGGAACUCGCCAUUGAAAACAGAUUUAAACCAUCGUUUUAAUUUCAUUUAAUUGAAUUACUCCCUAAUUUCACGAACCAUGGAUUUUACAAGUGUCGUGCAUUCAAAGCAAGUGUUUCUUUUUGAAUGAACAAAUACUCACGUAAGGUGGUGUGCAGAAGAUGGAUUGACACCACAUUGGUUCCGAAUGAUAACAGACGCAGAGACUGCAAACCGCAGGUCCUGGUACAUAAAGGAGACCGUGUCGAACGAUCGCUCCUUGGAAAUCCGUGCAAUUCUCCUCCAAGGCAGCUAAAAAUGAUUUUCACUUGAAUAUCUUCAAUACUUAAUUGCAUGUUCAGUUGCAUGUGUUGUUAAUUACGGAAGGUAAAAUUAUCAUGCGCGCUAAUUUUUGUUCGAUAGAUCCGCAUUGCAGUUUUCAUGAACUCUUCAACUUUCAACUUACCGGUCCUAGACGGAAGGAGAAGAAGAAGAAUAGCGGACAGAUAGAAUACCCACACGAGUAUUUUCGAGUAGAGGCUCGAACUACUCUUCAUGGUCCUCGAUUGAGUUAGCCACGGAAGAUCAAAGAAUAAUGUCCACCAGAGAGGCUAGAUAGAUGAAAAGUAGUUAUGCCAACAACCACUGUGCAUGCACUGCAGCGGCCAGGAGUAUGUUAUCUGCGAUAGAAAUCAGAACACAUUUGUAUUUUCAAAGUUGAAUCAAUUUUGCGUGGGACUAUUCUGAUUGAUACUAACGAGGGAUAAUUGCUUUGUUCGCGACCUUAACUAGCUGCUUGAUUGCCUGUAAAUGUCUGAAAUUGUCACUUGGACUCUUUCCAGAUUAAGCUUGUUUUAUUUUUUUCAGAAUUAGAGUAUAUCAUAAUAAUUUCUCUUUUUUAAUCCUUAAAUUCUAAAUUACUUUGUUGUUUACUUUUUUUUUUUAUUAAUUUUUAUUUUAAAUACUUGAAAAGUAUUCAAAUAAUAUCUAUUUUAUAUUAUUAAUUAUCUAGGAUAAAAAAUAGGAAUUUUGACAAUAAUGUGGGAAGUUCAGAUAAAAUAUUUCAAAAAUUGAAUGGAUCCAAUGUUUCAUUCUUUCUUAGAUUCUGUCCUCAGGAUCGUGAUUAAUUAUCUUAAUAAUAAGUAAGAAUGCAACAAGAAAAGAUGUCAUUUGUUUAAUUUUUAUAUAACGGGGUCAUCUUUAAAAUAAUGCAAAUGGCGAAACAUUAAACAUUUCGGGAACUCGGGUUUAAAUAUUCAUUGCACACUGAUUAUUAUUCAUCGAAGCCAAUUAUUCAGUUCCAAUUAUUCAAUUAUUCACUAGUAAUUUAACUAGCCAACUAUUGUGUCUAUACAUUGAAUAUGUUUUUUAAUUUUCACUUUUCUUAUAUAAUUUAACAUAUAAUUAUUUUAAUAUUAACAAUUAAUAAUUAACAAUUUAUCAUACUAUUUAUAAAAAAAAAUAGAUAAAUGUAAGGAUAAAUUUAAGAGUAAAUUUUUUACAAGUUGU